rnacentral:rRNA from 1 species
UGUAAGCGUAUACCAAAGUUGUUGCAGUUAAAACGCUCGUAGUCGGAAUUUGGCAGUUCCGGAUGUGUGCACGUCGUGUGCGCACUUCGCGGGGAUUGCUUUUGUGGUCUUGCGUAGGAUGAGGCACUUUUAUUAGUGAACGUCCUCACGCAACCACUUUUUACUGUGAGAAAAUCAGAGUGCUCAAAGCAGGCAUCUGCCGUGAAUGUAUUAGCAUGGAAUAAUAGAAUAGGACUUGGUUCUAUUUUGUUGGUUUGUUGGGACUGAGUAAUGAUUAAGAGGGACAGUUGGGGGCACUUGUAUUUCGGUGCUAGAGGUGAAAUUCUUAGAUUACCGAAAGACAAACUGCUGCGAAAGCGUCUGCCAAGGAUGUUUUCAUUGA